rnacentral:rRNA from 1 species
GGAAGGUGGGGAUGACGUCAAGUCAGCAUGGCCUUUAUACCCUGGGCGACACACACGCUACAAUGGGUGGUAUAAUUGGUAGCGAAGGAGCGAUCCGGAGCAAAUCCUUAAAACCAUCCUCAGUACGGAUUGCAGGCUGAAACCCGCCUGCAUGAAGCCGGAGUUGCUAGUAACCGCAUAUCAGAAUGGUGCGGUGAAUACGUUCUCGGGCCUU